GGGGAUUAGUGGCGAACGGGUGAGUAACACGUGAGUAACCUGCCCUUGACUCUGGGAUAAGCCUGGGAAACUGGGUCUAAUACCGGAUAUGACUGUCUGACGCAUGUCAGGUGGUGGAAAGCUUUUGUGGUUUUGGAUGGACUCGCGGCCUAUCAGCUUGUUGGUGGGGUAAUGGCCUACCAAGGCGACGACGGGUAGCCGGCCUGAGAGGGUGACCGGCCACACUGGGACUGAGACACGGCCCAGACUCCUACGGGAGGCAGCAGUGGGGAAUAUUGCACAAUGGGCGCAAGCCUGAUGCAGCGACGCCGCGUGAGGGAUGACGGCCUUCGGGUUGUAAACCUCUUUCAGUAGGGAAGAAGCGAAAGUGACGGUACCUGCAGAAGAAGCGCCGGCUAACUACGUGCCAGCAGCCGCGGUAAUACGUAGGGCGCAAGCGUUAUCCGGAAUUAUUGGGCGUAAAGAGCUCGUAGGCGGUUUGUCGCGUCUGCUGUGAAAGACCGGGGCUCAACUCCGGUUCUGCAGUGGGUACGGGCAGACUAGAGUGAUGUAGGGGAGACUGGAAUUCCUGGUGUAGCGGUGAAAUGCGCAGAUAUCAGGAGGAACACCGAUGGCGAAGGCAGGUCUCUGGGCAUUAACUGACGCUGAGGAGCGAAAGCAUGGGGAGCGAACAGGAUUAGAUACCCUGGUAGUCCAUGCCGUAAACGUUGGGCACUAGGUGUGGGGGACAUUCCACGUUUUCCGCGCCGUAGCUAACGCAUUAAGUGCCCCGCCUGGGGAGUACGGCCGCAAGGCUAAAACUCAAAGGAAUUGACGGGGGCCCGCACAAGCGGCGGAGCAUGCGGAUUAAUUCGAUGCAACGCGAAGAACCUUACCAAGGCUUGACAUGAACCGGUAAUACCUGGAAACAGGUGCCCCGCUUGCGGUCGGUUUACAGGUGGUGCAUGGUUGUCGUCAGCUCGUGUCGUGAGAUGUUGGGUUAAGUCCCGCAACGAGCGCAACCCUCGUUCUAUGUUGCCAGCGCGUUAUGGCGGGGACUCAUAGGAGACUGCCGGGGUCAACUCGGAGGAAGGUGGGGACGACGUCAAAUCAUCAUGCCCCUUAUGUCUUGGGCUUCACGCAUGCUACAAUGGCCGGUACAAAGGGUUGCGAUACUGUGAGGUGGAGCUAAUCCCAAAAAGCCGGUCUCAGUUCGGAUUGGGGUCUGCAACUCGACCCCAUGAAGUCGGAGUCGCUAGUAAUCGCAGAUCAGCAACGCUGCGGUGAAUACGUUCCCGGGCCUUGUACACACCGCCCGUCAAGUCACGAAAGUUGGUAACACCCG
rnacentral:rRNA from 1 species